rnacentral:rRNA from 1 species
GGGUGAGUAACGCGUGAGCGACCAACCUUGCACAGGGGGAUAACGGACCGAAAGGUUCACUAAUACCGCAUGAGACCACGGUGUUGCAUGACACAGGGGUCAAAGGAGCAAUCCGGUGCAAGACGGGCUCGCGUCCGAUUAGGUAGUUGGAGGGGUAACGGCCCACCAAGCCUAUGAUCGGUAGCCGACCUGAGAGGGUGAUCGGCCACAUUGGAACUGAGAUACGGUCCAAACUCCUACGGGAGGCAGCAGUGGGGAAUAUUGGGCAAUGGGGGAAACCCUGACCCAGCAACGCCGCGUGAAGGAAGAAGGUUUUCGGAUUGUAAACUUCUGUCCUUGGUGAAGAGAAGAAGACGGUAGCCAAGGAGGAAGCCCCGGCUAACUACGUGCCAGCAGCCGCGGUAAUACGUAGGGGGCAAGCGUUGUCCGGAAUGAUUGGGCGUAAAGGGCGCGUAGGCGGCUUUAUAAGUCUGGAGUGAAAGUCCUCUUUUCAAGGGAGGAAUUGCUUUGGAAACUAUAGAGCUUGAGUGCAGGAGAGGUUAUCGGAAUUCCCGGUGUAGCGGUGAAAUGCGUAGAUAUCGGGAGGAACAUCGGUGGCGAAGGCGGGUAACUGGACUGCAACUGACGCUGAGGCGCGAAAGUGUGGGGAGCAAACAGGAUUAGAUACCCUGGUAGUCCACACGGUAAACGAUGAAUGCUAGGUGUAGGAGGUAUCGACCCCUUCUGUGCCGCAGUUAACACAAUAAGCAUUCCGCCUGGGGAGUACGGUCGCAAGAUUAAAACUCAAACGAAUUGACGGA